ensembl:lncRNA
AUGGGAAAGGAGGCAGGAUCGAUGCUAUCAUGUGAGUUCCACCAGGCCUUCCACGCACCCAUCUCCAGUUCCUGGAAUGAAUUAAAAAUGGAGGAAAGCUGGAACCCAGAAGACAAGCGCUUUCCUGCUGCCAUCACAUUGCGAUUUCCCUCCAAGAACCCUCUACUAACAAAGUUACCAUUACCCCAGCUGACAAAGCACAACUAUUAUGGAGGGAGGCUAAGGUAAGAAGAUCCCACGAACCCAGGAGUUUCAGGUUACAAUUAGCUACAACCGUGCCUAAUGACACUGCCCUCCAGAGUGGGUAUGAGGAAGACCCUGUCUCAAAAACAAAAACAUAGGCAAUUAAAUUACAGGCAUUUAAAAGUUAUAAAUACAAAGUUAACCACUCAAAAUAUGCAACUUCCUAAAUAACACCUCAUUAAAGAAAAAGAUACAUGUCACAAAGAAACGUAACAAAUAAAAAAUAAUAUACAUAAUUAUAAAACAUCAUAAGAGAGCAGAGACCAAUGUAGUCACACCAAAUAGUAAGUCCUCACUUAAUGCCAUCAAUAGGUUCUUGGAAACGGCAACUUCAAGCAGAACCACUAUGGUAUAAAGAAACAAUUUUACCAUAGGCUAAGGGAUAGGAGCAAGAGUUAAGUUCCUACAACAUACAGUAAUUCAUUUCGCUUAAAACUGCAUUUCCGAGAAUCUAUCCAGGACAUUAACUGAAGACUUACUGUAAAGAAGCUUAACUCACCUAAUUAGGAAGUAGAUUUUAAAUGUGGUUCACAAAGCGAGACCCAGCUCUAUUCUAUACACUGGAAACAUGCCUAAAGCUAAAUAAUUCAGAAUGACUAAAAUUAAAGAGACAAAGGUAUAGCAUACAAAGCAUAAUUCAAGCCAAAGUUGAUUAAGAAAAGCACUUUUAUUAGUUUUUUUUCCAUGCCCAGCCCAAGAAGAACACUUUAGAGGCACAAUUGACUAUAAAAUUAUAACAUCUAUAAAUACCUAUGCACCAAUAACAUAAAAACAACUGAAGCUGUAAGAAGAAAGGCACUAACAAUAACAGACCUAUACAUUCUCCAUGAAAGAGAAAUCAAGCAAAUAAAGUAGAAAGAAGAUUUAACCAGAGUCAAAACAAGCAAACAAAAACAGAUCUUAUGUAUCUAGACUGACUGUUACUACCUAAUAAUACAGAAGAGAACACACCUUCUUCUCAAGCACCCACUGAACAUUCACAAAAUGGUAAAUGACAAAGAAAGUACAUCGGGAAGCUCUUUAAAGCAGAAAAGUAAUAAAUUAACCUUAGCUUACUAUCACCUUUUUACUUGAUAAACUUUUUCCUUUUAACAUUUUGACUCUUAUAAUAACCAUUACCUUAAAACACAAAUAAAAUCGCCUGCACAAAAAUGCUUUUUCAUUACAUCUUUAUUCCAUAACCUUUAUUAAUUUAAAACAAAUUUUUAAUUUAUCUUCUGGACUGUUUUGUUAAGAAUGAAGACACAAACACGAAAAUUAACCUAGGUUUGCCCAGGGUCAGAAUCAUCACUGACCCUGUCUCCCACUCGAAGGCCUUCGGGGCAAUAACCCGCCUGGAGCUCUGAUCCCCUGUGACAACAAUGACUUCCUCUGGAAUCCCUCCUGAAGUACUCGCUGAGGCUGUUUGACAGUUAACUUUUUUUAAUCAGUAGAAACAGUUCACUCUAAAAUAAUAAUAGAAGUUUAGCCUGUUAAGUGUAUAAACCAGUGAAAUAGUCAUGUGUUAUCCUCAAGUAUUAUGUGCAUACACAAUUAUAUGUGCUAUACUUUUAUACAGCUGUGCUACACAGUGGGUUUCUUUACACCAGCAUCACCAGAAACAUUCAAGUAAUGUGUUGUGUUACAACAUUACAAUUGCUACGAUAGAGCCAGGCGAUAAAACUUUUUCAGCUCCAUUAUAAUCUUACGAAACCACCAUCACAUAUGCAGUCCACCACAAUGGAGAUAAAAAGCUUAAACAGACCAAUUUCUAAAUGUCUUAAUUUUUAUAAAGCAAGUAUAACCUGAUGCCCAAAGUACAUAGAGAGUUCAAAAAUAUGUAACUACAGACAAAUAUCACAAAUGGACCUGAGCAAGAAAAUGUUAUUGAGUAUUUUUUCCAAGAAUUCAAUACAACAAUUUUUUUAAAACAUACCAUAUAAAAUACUCCACGAACACAAGGUAAAUUCAGUAUCAGAAAAUCUACUAACUGUAUAUAUGAUAUUAACAGAUCUAAGAGGAAAAAUAAUCAUUCCAUCAAUCUUCUGAAAUGCUUUCAACAAAACUCUCCACCCACACCUGAUAAAACUCUAAGAGGAAGCCCUAAUCAGAGCAAUUAGGCAACAGUGAGAAAUAAAGGGAAACCAAAUUGGAAAGGAGGAAGUCAAACUGUCCAUGUUUGCAGAUGACAUGAUCUUUUAUUUAGAACUAUCUGAAGACCCCACCAAGAAACUGUUAGAACUGAUAAAAGAAUUAAGCGAAGUUGCAGGAGACAAAAUCAACAUAUAAAAAUCGGUGCCUAUCUAUAAGUCAAUUGAAAACAAUCUAAUAAAAAAAUCAAUAAAGCAAUAACAUUUAUAAUAGCUACAAAAAUAUAAAAUACCUAGGAAUAAACUUAACCAAAGAGGUGAAAGAUCUCUACAAUGAAAACUAUAAAACUCUGAUAAAAGUUGAAGAGAACACACACACACACGAAAGAUGCUGCAUGCUCAUGGAUUGGAAAAAUUAAUAUUG